GUGCCUGGCCAGGCAGAAGGAGGAACAAAAAAUGAGCAAUGUGAAAAUGUAUUGCCCCGGUCAGCUGCUUUUCCCCUACAUGACACACUGGAAAUUCUACAUAACUACACAGUCACAAUUUUCUCUUAGAAUCUAAAAUCUCAAUUACCUCAAAACGCUAGUUUUUUUGUUGUUUUUUUAAACAGGUUUAUUGCUUGAGAAGUGUAAGAAAUUUUUCAAUUGUUCCUGAUCUAAAAAUGACCGUCUCAGUUUCUCUACAGCACGUGUGUGUGUGUGUGUGUGUGUGUGUGUGUGUGUGCGCGUGUGUGUGUGUGCACGCACGUGUGUGAGUGAGAUGGUGCUGAGCGGUUUCAGCACUCUCUCAGAAUCUGUGAGGAUCUACGGCUCCGUUCGCACCUCCUCCGCUAGAGCUGUGCUCCGAAAGAGCGGCAGCACACACUGACUCGCUCCCACACACACACGCAGACACACACACACACACACACUGUGCCUUGCUCGCUCCUGCUUUCCUGAUACUCGUUUGGUUGUGGGGAUUUAACAAACUCGUGGUGCUGCAGGAGGAUGCCGGGGCUUCCUGUGAUGCUCCCGCAGAAAGCUUUGGACUGCCAAGGUCAACGAGGACGAACAAUCCCAGAAGCGGCACUUGAGGAGUGGCAGAAGAACGCGAACGGCUGGUGGGUGGGGGGAAGGAACCGUUGGCAUGCGUGCUGGUCACCGCUAUGCUGCUCCAGCUCUCAGCUUUCUACAUGCGAUGGCAUAAUUUCCAUAGCAACCCGCUCUAACGAAUCUUUUUUUCAAUUAGAGCAGACACAAAACAUACUGCCCUGAGCCAGUAGGCAGUGUCAAGAGCCCAACUCCAUCUUCCUCGCCCCCACAUGGGGGGAGUGAUCCAGCCUCUCCGAGUCAAAGACACCAGGCUGUCUUACAGUAAUGUUCACAAUCCACUUGUUUAAAUGAGACUCAUAUACACAUCAGUGCAGAAAUCAAUGGGCUGUUAAUAAUUAACAGAGAUGUAAUGCUAUAGUGUUUAUUGUGAAAUGCAGAUGAAUGAGUAAGUCCUGAGAAAAGCUGGGCUUGUGUGCAGUCACUGAGAAUGUGAUGUGUUUCAGACCUGGCAGAAUUGCCACAAGCAGCAAAGCUGUUCUUUCUGGCUAGAGAGUUAUGCACUUGAGUUCAUAUCCACCUCCAGUUUCCCUCCCCGCUGUGCAGCUGAUGUCCGAUCUGAAGCUAUGCAUGCUGCACUAGUAAACAUUGCCCUAAUAAACUCACUGGCGUGGUUUCUAUCUCUCUUCCAGCCAUAGAUGUGACUUUAUUUGCACAAGUACAGGAUUUCAAUAGAAAGUGACAUUUGAAUGAAGCAAUUUCAAACACUAAGUUUAGUCUAAACAAACAUCAGCAUUAUCACACAGAGGUCUUGCAUCAGAGACCAUAUAGGAAGGGGCAGUAUUGUAUUGUGACUGGUUAAAUGUAAUCAGAUCAGGGUGGGAAUAAGCUUAAUAUCACACACUUAGUAAAUAAGUAAUGAAGAGCGAAGUAAAAUGUUUAAUGUGAAGUCUGCAUGUGACAGUUAUGCCAAAAGACACUUUCCACGUUUGUAUUUAUCUAAUCUUUUAUAUAAAGGUAUUUUUAAAUAAAUAUUUUCACCAGUGUAGCAAAUACACUCACACCAUCUCUUUGUCCAGAACAUAACCCUGCUUUUUUAAAAGAAUGUGUCUUUUAAUCGCAAAAUCUCAUUAUGUUAUUGAUGCAAUUGUUACAUACAAACCACUGAAAAUUAAGAAACCACAUCCAAGGCAUGAGCAUGUUUGUCUAAUUAUGCUGGUGAAAACUAUACAAUUAAAUUGCUGUUUCAUGCAAAAGAUUAAUGACAAACUAAUAAGAUAAAACAUUUCUUCAGACUAAUGAUGAGAGAGAUGUGGCCUGAAAUGGACCACUAGAACACAGGGAUGACAUAACACAGAGCUAAACAUUAUAAUACACUGUACUUAGGCACUAGAGUAUCCAUGGCAACUUGCCUUUGCUUUGCAUGGCAGCUCCUUAAUGAAAUCCCUAUUAAGUAGCCUAUAAUGAUAGUGUCCAAAUAUAUUUGCAUACAUAUUUCAGGGAAGGGAGGGAGGUGUGGGGGUGCCAAGCACAAAAGUAGAACGCUCAGUGAGCGCAUCUACGCUUAAUCUGUAACAUUAAUCUGGAUGAUAACAAGCCUGCAGCACAGGAGCAGGCGGACACAAUGCACAUCAAAAUAAACCACUAUCUGGGUGGGUAAAUAAGCCGCACUCCGUGGCUGCACCAUUAAAACUCUAAUUAAGGCCAGUGGCCGUGUGUGUGAGGAGGCCUCCUGCAAAGCCUGGGCCUGCUCCGCUCCGCUUGCCUCCGAGGAUCCACACACAGGAGUUCACACAUGUGACUUUCAUUUGCGACUCUGGCUGGCCGCCCAACAGGACAUCCCCAAGUGAGUGUUUGCUCGACUCAAUAUCAACAGGCCAAGUAAGCAGCUCCAGGGAAGGGCCCUGAUUCAGUUCCUAUUGAAAAUAAACUGACGCACAUUUGCACGAGCUGGAAUAUCAACACGCGCAAGCAGGAGCCACGUAUAGCACUCAGCAGUGUUCUCUCGCUCUUUUUCUCUCCUGUUUAAUGAUACCUGCACCACUUCAGCAGCUGCAGGGAGAAUUGAAGUAUACAUUACAGCAGAGAAAUAAAAGAGACAGAAAUGAUAGAAGUCAGACAGUUCAAGCUGACCAGCCACUUCAAACAGAAAGGCCCGACAAACGCGACAGACACUCCAGGUUAAAUUGGCUCUUCGGCACCUUGCCUUAAAAUGUGGCUUUCUUCAAAAGCACAUUUGAAUUAAGACGAGUUGAUGAAAUCAAAGACUUGACUGUGUGGGUAAAUUUAUACAAGCAAGUACACCUCACAGCAGUUUACCUAUUAUGCAGCAGAUUGGAGCGAGAUGAAAGCAUACUGCAUGACAGCCUACUUACCUUUUCACACACACAAGAUAUUAUCAUAUUGUAAAGGCUGCAAUUUGUAUUAAAAUCACAUUGGGGGGAAAACGUAGGUGACAAGGCUUGAGAUGCACACGGCUGCCAAACUUGUAAUCAGAUAAAAGGAUAUGCACUAAAGGCUCUAUAACCACCACUCAAUGUAUUCAGUACAAUGAAAUAAAAACAAAAAAACCCUCAAAAUACACUAAUCCAUUUUGUUCAAAUGCUCUAAAAAAAAAAAAAAAAAAAAAAGAACAAAAGAGAGAGGGAAACAAUAAGAUAACAUAAGUGACAUAAAUUACACACUCAGUUGGAAGUGAAAUUUGUAACUUUAAUACAAUGAGGAAAAACAGAGACAGGGAUAGAGAGAAAGACAGAUACAGAUGGAUCUAUUCAGGAUACUUUCAUGUUACAUCAGAGUUCAGGACUACCAUGAGUCUCUUCCAUUCAGCAGUUUAACACUAUUCAAACAGACACAAAUUAAACAAAAAAGAAAGAAAAUUAAUCGAGGAAAAUGGCAUCCCACCAAAGAAUAAUAAACUCAUUAUAUGGAAAUUUCAAACGUAACCGUUCUCCAUGCCGCUGCUAAUUUAAACCCAAUUGUUACUAGCCACUAAUUCGUUGAGGGCGGGGAUAGGAAUUACAUCUGGAGGUAAUUCACUGCAUGGAACUGAGCCCAGUGGGGGCUACCCAAAGAGAGAGAGAGAGAGAAAGAGAGAGAGGAGAAGUGGGGGAAGUAAGGUUUUGGUCUCUGAAAACUGCCGAAUGUUUGCAUGGUGCUGUCAUUUGACAGGGCUUAGAGCAGACCUAGGUGUAGGAGACAUGGAAUAGGGGACAAAAGACAGGCAGAGACAAACUGAGGUAACCUCUAAGCAAGAAUCCAGCCCGCUGUCUGUUACAAAGUCAAAAAUGGCUUAGUAACAUAAGUAGCCCAGGCUUAAGGGUAAACUGGUCUAAAUGGACAAUCCUGUCCAAAAUCAAAUGAGGUUACCAGUGAAGUCGGGCUACCCAAAACUGGUCAGUCUACACAAGUGUCUUGUGUUUGACUUAAUCUACUAUAAAUUGUAUAUCUAUAGACGCAAGGAUAAAGUAAGGUAUGCUUUAAAUUAGGGCUGCAACUAACGAUUAUAUUGAUAAUAAAUUAAUUUGUCGAUUAUUCAUGCGAUUAAUCGAUUAGUUGGAUUGAAAGACCCGUUUUUAUUUCCUGCAUUUCGGGGGGGGGAAACAACAACAAAUAAACAUGUUAUUUCACAUUCUGCCCAGUGUUGUCCUACAAAUGCUGUGCAAAUUGAAGGCUAUGAAAAAAAGUAUUCAAUGUUUCUAUGUGGGCUUUGCUAUACAUUCUGCAAAGGAUUUUUAAAAAAUAUAUAUUAACAUUAUAUUUUGAAAACAAAAAACUAGCUGUUUGUCCACAAGCUUUAAAGCAGAAAUUAAAAUGUUAAAAAAAAAAGAAAAAAAAAAAACACAAACUAAGUGUUAACUGGUAAGAGGUUGAAUGUUCCGCAGUAACACACACAUUCACUCAUCUGAACAUGUUACUUUAUUCUGUAAAUGCAUGACACUUCUUACACUUAUAUACAAUUCCAUGUUCUAACCCCAUUACAGUUACUGCUCUCAUACAAAAACACAAUUACUUUAGUUUCUAAAUAUCACUAAAUAUAGCAUCAAACAACAUAUUUGAUCAAAAUGAAUAUUUUAGUCAGCGUUAUUGCGCUUCCUUUCUAUUGCAUGCUGUUUUAUUGGCGCGCAUGCGUGGACUCGUGCUCGUUCGGUGUUCAAAUGUAAUGGAGACUCACUUGCUGUCAGGACGAGCCUUUAUGUAAAAUGGCGUGAAUUUCUAACAUUUACAGAUAAGGAUAUAAACAUAAAAAUGUAAUGUCUGUGCUGAAGAAAACAUGUCUGGAACACAUUAAACAGCACACGGAUCUGACACGACAAGCCACGUUAAUACACUUACGAGUUUGUGUGAAGCGCUUAAUAUAAAACAACAGCUCACUCUGUGACCUCCGCGGAUUUUCAGAUGUGUUUUAUUCAUAGAAAUGCGUUUUUCACCAUUGUGAAGGGGUUAUCCAGUGACAUCACAAACCCAACUAACUGAUAAUGAAAUUCGUUGUCAAUUAUUUUAAUUAUCGUUUAUUAUCGAGUUUAUCGAUGAGUUGUUGCAGCUCUACUUUAAAUUGAAAAAUGUAACAGAACAAUUUUUUUUUUUUUAUAAUUGGAGCCCAAUCACAACCAAUACAAAGACAUGCAAGAACUGUUUGUGCUACAUAACAGCCUUACACUAGAAAAAAAAGGUGAGACUACAUGUUGGCUGUCUUGAUGGCGAGUGUGGCAAAAACCGCACACCAGUCGCACGCCUCUCUGCUGGUCCUAGUAGGAGUGCAAUGCAAAGUUUGGGCUCCAAUUAUCGUGGGUGAAAAGUAGCUCAAAGAAGACAUUUACAUUCGAUACAGAGCCGGGCAGCCCCCUCCUAUCCAUCUUCAGCUUCUCUUGAGGUGAACAGAAAAUGUGUUUUCCAAAUGAAAAUAAACGGAGGUUGGCUGGUUUGAGGCAGUUAAACUCAGGAAUAUGAGAUCAAAUAAAGGCUCCUGUGGAGUCUGAAAGGAGAAAUGAAAUCGCUUCUGAGGGGAGAUGUACCAAGUAAUAAAAUCACUCCUUUAUAUCUUCCUAAACGGCACAUGUUCCUCAGGAGUGGUUAAGCCUUUGCGCUGCGGUCAAAGACAGUAUGCAAGUGGCAAUUUUUACUUCCCAAAGAUUUCCCCCCACUGAUAUCGUUCUUCAGUCUUGUGCUCUGCAAUUUGGCCAAAACGGCUAACUCUUUCACAUUCGAGUUUGCGGCAAACUUUUUGUGAGAAUUGCUUUAAUGACGUUUCGGGUCUGACAGCAUGUGAAAAAGUCCAUAUUCUAUCAGGUAAAAAUGACCGUAAUAACAUUGCCAUUGGUUCAAAGGCCUCACGCUCAGGCUGUAGCCAUUAUGAAACACACUUAGUUGAUUGAAGACUGAUGGCAUACUGCACAAACAAAAAAAAAACACUUUCAUUCUGUAGGGUCCUACACUGCAUGGAUCUUUUCUCUCUCUCUCUCUCUCUCUCUCUCUCUCUCACACACACACACACACACACACAUAUACACACACACACACUCUGCCCCAACCAUUCAGCCGUCCAUAAACUGAUUGACAGCAGAAUUGUGGUGCAUUAUCAAAAACAUGUAAUUGAUUUGUCUUUUUAAAACGUAACCACAAUAAUAUUCAGACCACAUUUAGCCACCAUCCUCAGAUAUAUCGAAGGGCAUUAGCAAACGAAGGAAUACAUUAUAAAUUAUAAUACAGCAGUUAUUAUAGUUCCAAUAAAAAGGGCUUAGAAAGUGAAAUGAACCACUUAUCAGUUUGCUGCCUCUCUACCUUAAAAGCGUCCAUGUUCUAUAAUUUAAGUGCAGAAACAGUCUGACACUGAAAACAGGAGUGAAUGGACAAAUAUUCACCAACACAAAUGGCUUCCAUUAAUUCAGCGACCAGCAGAAAUGUAAGUGUUCGUGCUAAAAAAAAUGAAAAAGAAAAAAAAUGUAGGAUUUAAAGCUAUAGUGUUAACUCCAAAAACCACAAAUCCCAUUUCAAUUAAAAGCAUGAUUUUCAAUUAAAAGCUGAACAAACACACAAACCCAUACACACUAACAUGAAUUUGAAAAGGGGAAAAUAAAAAAGUCCUCGCGUUCUUGAGAAAGCUUAUCAAAUGGCAUCUACACCUAUACAUUUACGGCAUUUUAGCAGACGCCCUUAUACAGAGUGACUUACAUUUAUCUCAUUUAUACAACUGAGCAGUUGAGGUUUAAGGGCCUUGCUCAAGGGCUCAGCAGUGGUAGCUUGGAGGUGCUUGGAUUUGAUCUAUCGACCUUCUGAUCAAAAGUCUAAGAUCUUGACCACUGAGCUACUUUAAUAGAAACAAGCAGACACUAAAAACUUUUUGCAUUUUGAUAUACAUUUGAAAUACUUUGGGUGAUAAUGAUUUGCAGUUACUGUAAUAGAUUUAUUUUGACCUUGUACCAAAGCACAGUGUUUUUUUUAACUCUACACCCUCCCACUCACACAACAGACUCACACACAAACAUGCAUAUUAUAAAUCAGAAAUAAAUCAUAUAAAUGAAGCCAGCCUUUAAGAAAACUGUAAUUAAUAAAUAAAUAAAUAAAUAAAUAAAUAAAUAAAUAAAUAUUCCGAUGGAUGAUUUUCAAUUUUGCAUCCAAACUCUAUCAUACUGCAUAGCAACACUCCGUAUUCCCAAUUAUUUCCAGACACCUACAACUUUUUUGAUUCAUUAUCUUACUUCAGUUCAGCACAGCAAGGAUUUUUGCAGCCUGCCUACAAAGGGUGAUGGAAAAGAGAAGGUUAAAAAAAAAAAGUGCCCAACAGCUGCUGCUGGGCCAUCUACAAGCACAUACACCAUCCACCUCCCCAAACAAACAGAAGACCGACUUCAAAUACAUAGCUGGACUAUUAGGUAAUCCCUCUUUUGUUUGGAUUCACUGAGCCUUGAUGGCCAGCCUCCAUCUUCCCCACUGCUGCUGAAGGACUGAAGCCUUAAACUAACACUGUUACUGUGAAUGCCAGCAUACAAACAGACACACAGUAAAUAUCUAUCAGGACUGCAGAAAAACGCAGGUCAGAAUUGACGUCAACACUGGUUCUGCUCCUUGCAGUGAGCAAUCACGAAAGGAGAACAUUACAGAAAGAGCAGCAGGCGGCUGUAGAGGGUUCUUUUGUUUGGCCCGGACAAAAUCGGGG